rnacentral:misc_RNA from 1 species
GCAGAGGUGGAGACUGUCAUUAGUCGCCUUUAAGUCCAACAAGAAAUUUGUGUUUCGUUUUGACAAAGCACAGUUACAAAACAGUCAAGCAGCACAGUUUAGUAUCAUCUGAGAAAAAGCUUGUAUGGGUUCAAUCCUCUGCUUCCCCAACUAAUAAGACAAGCAGCUUAGGCAACAAUUGGGAAUACAAAUUAUGUUCAAGGAAAUUUCACGAAAUGUUGUUCUUAGAGGCGACUAAUGACAGUCUCCACCUCUGCAGGCGUAUACAGAUGAUAUGUUGGAGCCACCUUUGCAAUAUCAACAUUGUUGGGAGUCACCUUUUCUUCCAUAACUUGCUUCAGAAUGGAAAGUGCAAUUGUCUCAGCCUCUUGAAGAGUGAGGUCCUUGUUAUAUUGCUCUUGCAAAGAGCUAUCUGCACCUUCUGAUCCUGAACCAAUAGCCUUAGCAUUGCAUUGCCAAAAUGUGCCAGAUGGAUCUGUAUAGUACAGGCUAGGACCAUUCUCAUCAUGACCAGCAAUGAGAAGCGACACCCCAAAUGGACGAGACAUGGAUUCUUCAUCGCCUUCACCAAAUCGCAAAGCCAGAUCACAGAGUGCUUGGGUUGUAGACUCCACUGUCAUGGGCUCACCAUACGAGAAUCUAUGGUUCUGAGUCUCCACACGUGCAUGCUCAACAAGUGUACGAGCAUCUGCAAUUAAUCCACUCAUAGCACAUCCAAUAUGCUCAUCAAUUUCCAUAACCUUUUCCACACUACUGGGCUCCAGCAGUGGUGAAGUGAUACGCUUCUCAACUGCAAGCACAACACCUUCUUUUGUCUUUAACCCAAUUGCAGUUGAACCUAGCUUAAUGGCUUCAAUAGCAUAUUCAACCUGAAACAAUCUGCCUUCAGGAGAGAAAGUGUUCACUCCUCGGUCAUACUCGGUCCUUGUGAGGAACAUCUUUGGCUCGAUCUAAAUGGUGAAUCCUUGAGAGAGAGAGAGAGAGAAGAACAAGGGGGCACAGUAGGUCUAUUU